rfam:Aedes aegypti strain Liverpool supercont1.750 genomic scaffold, whole genome shotgun sequence.
CCUCUCGUGGCGUAGGAAUAACGCGCUCUAUCUAGAGAACAGGGAGACGUAAGUUCGAUUCUCACCGAGAAGA